rnacentral:rRNA from 1 species
UACGUAGGUGGCAAGCGUUGUCCGGAAUUAUUGGGCGUAAAGCGCGCGCAGGCGGGAAUGUAAGUCUGUCUUAAAAGUUCGGGGCUCAACCCCGUGAUGGGAUGGAAACUACAUUUCUUGAGUGCAGGAGAGGAAAGUGGAAUUCCUAGUGUAGCGGUGAAAUGCGUAGAUAUUAGGAGGAACACCAGUGGCGAAGGCGACUUUCUGGACUGUGUCUGACGCUGAGGCGCGAAAGCCAGGGUAGUGAACG